rnacentral:rRNA from 1 species
GAUGAACGCUAGCUACAGGCUUAACACAUGCAAGUCGAGGGGCAGCAUUAUCUUAGCUUGCUAAGAUAGAUGGCGACCGGCGCACGGGUGAGUAACACGUAUCCAACCUUCCGGUUACUCGGGGAUAGGCUUUCGAAAGAAAGAUUAAUACCCGAUGUUGCGUAUCUUUCUCCUGAAAGAUACGCCAAAGGAUUCCGGUAACCGAUGGGGAUGCGUUCCGUUAGGCAGUUGGCGGGGUAACGGCCCACCAAACCUUCGAUGGAUAGGGGUUCUGAGAGGAAGGUCCCCCACAUUGGAACUGAGACACGGUCCAAACUCCUACGGGAGGCAGCAGUGAGGAAUAUUGGUCAAUGGACGGAAGUCUGAACCAGCCAAGUAGCGUGAAGGAUGACUGCCCUCUGGGUUGUAAACUUCUUUUAUACGGGAAUAACAUGAGGUACGCGUACCUUAUUGCAUGUACCGUUAUGAAUAAGCAUCGGCUAACUCCGUGCCAGCAGCCGCGGUAAUACGGAGGAUGCGAGCGUUAUCCGGAUUUAUUGGGUUUAAAGGGAGCGUANGUGGGAUAUUAAGUCAGCUGUGAAAGUUUGGGGCUCAACCUUAAAAUUGCAGUUGAUACUGGUUUCCUUGAGUACGGUACAGGUGGG